UGUAUUUACAUUUGAAAUGGACAUGAACACUGAAGAGUCAUCAUUCAAAAUUGUUGGCAUGAGCGAGGCAGCAAAAAGCGCGAGGGGUCUCGUAACGGCUGGACUGCAAGGUGGAGAGACGAAUCUUCAAACUUAAAGGCACGAGACAGCAGAGAUUGCAACUCUAACCUGAUAGGACUGGUGGUGUGAGACAAAUGAGAAAAGGUGAAAAACCCACUGUGUACACUGCCCUUUUUCAUG